rfam:Salmo salar isolate Sally breed double haploid chromosome ssa17, whole genome shotgun sequence.
CGCAUUCACUACUGUAAGUUGCUCUAGAUAAGAGUGUCUGCUAAAUGACUAAAA